rnacentral:rRNA from 1 species
CCUACGGGAGGCAGCAGUGAGGAAUAUUGGUCAAUGGGCGCGAGCCUGAACCAGCCAAGUAGCGUGAAGGAUGACUGCCCUACGGGUUGUAAACUUCUUUUAUAAAGGAAUAAAGUGAGGCACGUGUGCCUUUUUGUAUGUACUUUAUGAAUAAGGAUCGGCUAACUCCGUGCCAGCAGCCGCGGUAAUCCGGAGGAUCCGAGCGUUAUCCGGAUUUAUUUGGUUUAACGGGAGCGUAGAUGGGUGGUUAAGUCAGUUGUGAAAGUUUGCGGCCCAAACGUAAAAUUGAAAUUGAUAAUGGCAGCCUGGAGUAAAGUUGAGGUAGGCGGAAUUCGUGGUGUAGCGGUGAAAUGCUUAGAUAUCACGAAGAACGCCGAUUGCGAAGGCAGCCUACUAAACUGCCACUGACAUUGAUGCUCGAAAGUGUGGGUAUCAAACAGGAGUAGAUACCCCAGUAGUC